UACGGAGGGGGCUAGGCGUUGUUCGGAAUUACUGGGCGUAAAGGGCUCGUAGGCGGCCAACUAAGCCAUACGUGAAAGUCCCUCGGCUUAACCGGGGAAUUGCGUCUGCAUACUGGAUGGCUUGAGUUCGGGAGAGGGAUGCGGAAUUCCAGGUGUAGCAGUGAAAUGCGUAGAGAGUGAUGGAGGAACACCGAUGGCCGAAGGCCAGCCCCCUGGGUUAACGACUGGACGCUCGAGGCGACGAAAGGCGUACGGGGGAGCAAACAGG
rnacentral:rRNA from 1 species